AUUUGUUAUUACAUCCCUGACAAAAAUGGUUGUGGGAACUGAACUGUCUCUUUGCUUUUUGGCAGGUGGAAAUACAAUAGCAGAACACUAACAAAUUGAGAGGAUGAAGGGAAAAUGUGAUGUGUACAACAAAGAAGAUUAUAGAUGGUGUAAACUUCCAAAUAUUAAAAUAUAGGAAAGGAGAAAGCAAGCCCAGUUACUGUAAGUAUGCAGAUUUCAUGAACAAUUUCUGAAUUUUGUACUAUCUCUGAAUUAGCUUCAGUAG
rnacentral:lncRNA from 1 species